AGAUUGAACGCUGGCGGAAUGCUUUACACAUGCAAGUCGAACGGCAGCACGGGGGCAACCCUGGUGGCGAGUGGCGAACGGGUGAGUAAUACAUCGGAACGUGCCCAGUCGUGGGGGAUAACUACGCGAAAGCGUAGCUAAUACCGCAUACGAUCUACGGAUGAAAGCGGGGGACUCGCAAGAGCCUCGCGCGAUUGGAGCGGCCGAUGGCAGAUUAGGUAGUUGGUGGGGUAAAGGCUCACCAAGCCUGCGAUCUGUAGCUGGUCUGAGAGGACGACCAGCCACACUGGGACUGAGACACGGCCCAGACUCCUACGGGAGGCAGCAGUGGGAAUUUUGGACAAUGGGCGCAAGCCUGAUCCAGCCAUUCCGCGUGCAGGAUGAAGGCCUUCGGUUGUAACUGCUUUGUACGGAACGAAAGUCCUUUCUAACGUACAGGGUCAUGACGGUACCGUAAGAAUAAGCACGCUAACUACGUGCAGCACGCCG
rnacentral:rRNA from 1 species